UACGUAGGUGGCAAGCGUUGUCCGGAUUUACUGGGCGUAAAGGGCGUGCAGGCGGUUUGUUAAGUCUAGGGUGAAAGCUCCCGGCUCAACUGGGAGAGGUCCUUGGAUACUGGCAGACUUGAGGAGGGUAGAGGAGAGUGGAAUUCCCGGUGUAGUGGUGAUAUGCGUAGAUAUCGGGAGGAACACCAGUGGCGAAGGCGGCCCACUGGGCCGGUACUGACGCUGAGGAGCGAAAGCGUGGGGAGCAAACAGG
rnacentral:rRNA from 1 species